AGUGAACGCUGGCGGUAGGCCUAACACAUGCAAGUCGAACGGCAGCACAGUAAGAGCUUGCUCUUACGGGUGGCGAGUGGCGGACGGGUGAGGAAUACAUCGGAAUAUACUUUUUAGUGGGGGAUAAUGCAGGGAAACUUACGCUAAUACCGCAUACGACCUACGGGUGAAAGCAGGGGAUCUUCGGACCUUGCGCGAUUGAAUGAGCCGACGUCGGAUUCGCUAGUUGGCGGGGUAAAGGCCCACCAAGGCGACGAUCCGUAGCUGGUCUGAGAGGAUGAUCAGCGACACGGUAAGUGAGACACGUCCCAGACUCCGACGGGGGGCAGCGGUGGAGAAUAUUGGACGAUGGGCGCAUGCCUGAUCCAGCAAUACCGCGUGGGUGAAGAAGGCCUUCGGGUUGGAAAGCCCUUUUGUUGGGAAAGAAAAGCAGCAGGUUAAUACCCCGCUGUUCUGACGGUACCCAAAGAAUAAGCACCGGCUAACUUCGUG
rnacentral:rRNA from 1 species